rnacentral:sRNA from 1 species
UGGUAAUUGGUUUUCAUGGUAUCAGCAGAAACCAGGGAAAUCUCCUCAGCUCCUGAUCUAGGAUGCAUC